UACGGGGGGGAGCAAGCGUUGUUCGGAUUUACUGGGCGUAAAGGGCGGGUAGGCGGCCACCGCAAGUCAGUUGUGAAAUCUCUGGGCUUAACCCAGAAAGGUCAACUGAUACUGCGGGGCUAGAGUGCAGAAGGGGCAACUGGAAUUCUCGGUGUAGCGGUGAAAUGCGUAGAUAUCGAGAGGAACACCUGCGGCGAAGGCGGGUUGCUGGGCUGACACUGACGCUGAACUGCGAAAGCUAGGGGAGCGAACGGG
rnacentral:rRNA from 1 species